GGGCGCCCGUAGGUGCGGUGGGACCAACGCCACCUCUGCCGGGGUCGAGGGUCAAGGGUAGGGGCUAGGGCCGACCCACCGAGAAGCAGCACUAGGACGUUGCCGUGAAGGGGAAGAGGGAGCCGGCCGCGCGGGAUCCCAAUCUAACGCCAGAACAAACAAACAGAUGGAUAAAUGUCAAGUGCUGGAGUGCCUUUCAGGAAAGCAAUCAUCCUUCAGAUUUUCCUGAUUUCCAGAGAUGCUGGCUACGAAUGGCUUCCUUUUCCCUGACAGUCUUCUGUGAGUCACAGGGCACUUGGUCUGGCAUAAAGCACUGGGGACGUUUGUAGGAACAAAGCUGUACGAGUACACCAGCGUCCCCAUUCCUCACGGGACUCGCCUCCUGCAGGUAAUGGACAGAGGCGGGGCCGUCAGAGGCUCACUUCCUGUCUGGGGAAAAACACACCAGGUCUUGCAACCUCGGACAGAACUGUGGAGUAGAAAAUCUGGAAUUCAUCAUUGUUAUUAUUUUUUUGCUCUGCCUGACAUCAUUUGCUUUUAAAUUUAUGUUUUACUUAAAGUAAUAUGAAGAUGGUUUAAAUUUCUUGAGCACGUAUUAACUGGGAGAGAAGGGGAUCAGAAGAGAGGUAUGAGAAGGUGGGAGAUGAUUCCAAAGAAACACUGAACAAAUCAAAAACCCGAAAGCAUGCUACUGAAAACGCACACACUUAAAUCAGAGGUGGACAGUGGUUAUUUUGGGCAAUUUUACCUUAAUCUCAGAAGGGGAAUUACUGCGCUAAGCAGUAACCCCUAAAACUCAAGGCGAGAAAGUUGAGGGCAGUGAGCUCAGGUGAAACCUCGGAAACAUGUUGUUUCAGGGCCCAGACUUUAUCCCUAAACCGCUCCAUAGUUUACUGGAAGGUCCUGCUCUGUAAUGGAGAGGUGGCCACCAUGUGGGGAACUGGCCUUCUGGCCUCUGUGUGAGGAUAUCAUCGUCCUACAGGGUCCUGCUCUCUGCCUUCAUUUGUCACCAUGGUACUCAGACCACAGACAAAGGAACACACACAGGCCUUUCCUGGGGAAGACAAGUGAUGUUUAUGAUGUAGGGGCUCUUUCACAAGCCUGGGGAACCACAGCUGUCUGAACACCUGUGCAUGUUUCAAAAGCCUAUAAUAAUAGUCACAGCUAAGAGUAAAGACAAAGUUGACAUAAUGAAAAGUAACUUGGACUUUCAUAUAUUUUUCAUUUUAAAAGUGAUC